AACGAACGCUGGCGGCAUGCCUAACACAUGCAAGUCGAACGAGACCUUCGGGUCUAGUGGCGCACGGGUGCGUAACGCGUGGGAACCUGCCCUUAGGUUCGGAAUAACUCCCCGAAAGGUGUGCUAAUACCGGAUAAUGUCUUCGGACCAAAGAUUUAUCGCCUUUGGAUGGGCCCGCGUUGGAUUAGCUAGUUGGUAGGGUAAAAGCCUACCAAGGCGACGAUCCAUAGCUGGUCUGAGAGGAUGAUCAGCCACACUGGGACUGAGACACGGCCCAGACUCCUACGGGGGGCAGCAGUGGGGAAUAUUGGACAAUGGGCGAAAGCCUGAUCCAGCAAUGCCGCGUGAGUGAUGAAGGCCUUAGGGUUGUAAAGCUCUUUUACCCGGGAUGAUAAUGACAGUACCGGGAGAAUAAGCGCCGGCUAACUCCGUG
rnacentral:rRNA from 1 species